UUUAAAAAUUUAAGGUACUGCCUGCUCAAUGCUUUAGAAGUAAAUAGCCGCAGUAUUUUGACUGUGCUAAGGUAGCAUAAUCAUUAGUCUCUUAAUUGGAGGCUGGUAUGAAAGGCAAGACGAGAAACAAGCUGUCUCAAAGAAAAAAUUUGAAAUUCAUUUUUUAGUGAAAAAGCUAAAAUAGAUUCAAGGGACGAUCAGACCCUAUGGAGCUUUAUUAUAAGGAAAGUUAAAAUUUAAAAAAAUUAAAGUUUCCUAAAAUUUUGUUGGGGCGACAGAGAGUAAAAAGUAACACUCUUUUUUAAAAACAUUUUAAAUGGAGAAUUGAUCCCCAAAGCGGGAUUAAAAGACUAAGUUACCCUAGGGAUAACAGCGUAAUUUUCUUGGAGAGUUCUAAUCGAUAAGAAAGUUUGCGACCUCGAUGUUGGAUUAGGAAUUUAGUUAGGUGCAGGCGCUUAACUGUAGAGUCUGUUCGACUUUAAAAUCCU
rnacentral:rRNA from 1 species